rnacentral:miRNA from 2 species
CGGGGCCGGGGCGCUGUCUGAGA